rnacentral:rRNA from 1 species
UACGUAGGGUGCGAGCGUUGUCCGGAAUUAUUGGGCGUAAAGGGCUCGUAGGCGGUUUGUCGCGUCGGGAGUGAAAUCCACUGGCUUAACUGGUGGCUUGCUUUCGAUACGGGCAGACUGGAGGUAUGCAGGGGAGAACGGAAUUCCUGGUGUAGCGGUGAAAUGCGCAGAUAUCAGGAGGAACACCAGAGGCGAAGGCGGCGCGCUGGGCUGCAACUGACGCUGAACCACGAAAGCCAGGGUAGCGAACGGG